rnacentral:lncRNA from 1 species
UACAACAGAAAAUUAAAACAAAAAAAAUUCGCGAAUGAUAAUUGCUCGAAAGUUCGAAUGUGACAAGUGUAGAUAAAUCAUGGUAGAAUGCUUAUUGUUAGAUUUUCCUCUCUUUGCUCCUUGAUCACUCACCGACAAUAUCCCUAUUAGGCACUACCGUAGAGGUUAAUUCUAUCAUAGUUGCUGUUACGUCUUUCAAUGUCGAGAACGAAGAUGAAGUGCUAUUGCGACAGCUCUCCUGCACACAAACGUGCAAGCGACGACUCCCGAAGUUGAAGUUUCUACGCUGCCAACCUCCACAUGAGGUUGCGGCAGAGGGUUGACAGGUUCAGUAUAAGGUCGAGGCUACUAGAUGACGUCGAAGAAGAUGUUGCUUGGAACGCUGAACAGAAUUGGCAACUGCUGGAAACAGAGCAGUAGUGCCACCCUCUCUUCCUCUCCUCUUCUCGACAAGAACACCGGUUCUAGGCCAGAAAGAAAACUUGAGGGAUUGUUGAUCUUGUUGGCGAAGAAAGUUGGAACUCUUCUUGCUACUACUGAUCGUCGAAGAAGGUGCAACAACGCUUGACGUUAGUUGAUCUCUCCUGGGCUCUCUGAUCAGGAAGAAGACAGAUCGAAGGUGAUGCUACUGCUUGUUGUCUUCUUUUUCUGCUCUACUUCUCUUCUUCUUCUUCUUCUUCUUCUUCCUCUCCUUGAUCUUUCGCUCUCCCACUCUUCAUCGAGGAGAAGUAGGGUGCCGCUGCUGCGAUGGAGAAAAGAAGUGGUGGGGAAGUCGCGAGUUCUACUCGGACGCUGGCGACUUAAUGAAGGCUGCAAUUCUUUGAUCUCUCGAUAGAUUAGGAGGGGC